rnacentral:rRNA from 1 species
CCUACGGGGGGCAGCAGUGAGGAAUAUUGGUCAAUGGGCGCGAGCCUGAUCCAGCCAAGCCGCGUGAAGGAUGACUGCCCUACGGGUUGUAAACUUCUUUUAUAAAGGAAUAAAGUGAGGCACGUGUGCCUUUUUGUAUGUCCUUUAUGAAUAAGGAUCGGCUAACUCCGUGCCAGCAGCCGCGGUAAUACGGAGGAUCCGAGCGUUAUCCGGAUUUAUUGGGUUUAAAGGGAGCGUAGAUGGGUUGUUAAGUCAGUUGUGAAGGUUUGAGGCUCAACCGUAAAAUUGCAAUUGAUACUGGCAGUCUUGAGUACAGUUGAGGUAGGCGGAAUUCGUGGUGUAGCGGUGAAAUGCUUAGAUAUCACGAAGAACACCGAUUGCGAAGGCAGCUUACUAAACUGCAACUGACAUUGAUGCUCGAAAGUGUGGGUAGCAAACAGGAUUAGAUACCCGGGUAGUC